UUUAAAAUGAAUUGUGCUUUCGCCAGCUUACCUGAUAAGUCUUCGCUUUACUCACAAGAGUCCUGCCUGUGUUUCCUUCUAGAAUUAUACAGCUUUAGUUUUGCGGGUAGCCCUCUGAUUCCUUUGAGAUGACUUUUGUGUGCUGUGAGGAAAAAAGAACACCCUUUCUUCAGAGACCCGUUUCUUAAUGCUGCUCAAAAAUCAACUGACAACAGAUGAAGAGAAGAACUGAUCUUAGAAGCCCUGAAUGAGUUUGGUAUGCAGUUUAAAAUAAGCAAUACCAAAGCAAAAUAAAGUAAGA
rnacentral:lncRNA from 1 species